rnacentral:rRNA from 13 species
AGAAGACCCUGUUGAGUUUGACUCUAGUCUGGCUUUGUGAAAUGGCGUAGGAGGUGUAGACAAGUGGGAGCCCUGCGACCUUGAAAAACCACUACUCUUGAUGUCAUUUUACUUACCUCGUGAGGUAGCGACCAUUCGUGGUUCUAGCUUUGCUUGCUAAGCGAGAGACAGAGCCAGGUAGGGAGUUCGGCUGGGGCGGCACAUCUGUUAAACAGUAACACAGGUGUCCUAUGGCAAGCUCAAAGAGAACAGAAAUCUC